rnacentral:rRNA from 1 species
UACGAAGGGGGCUAGCGUUGCUCGGAAUUACUGGGCGUAAAGGGCGCGUAGGCGGACAUUUAAGUUAGAGGUGAAAGCCCAGGGCUCAACCCUGGAAUAGCCUUUAAUACUGGAUGUCUUGAGUUCGGGAGAGGUGAGUGGAAUGCCGAGUGUAGAGGUGAAAUUCGUAGAUAUUCGGCGGAACACCAGUGGCGAAGGCGACUCACUGGACCGAUACUGACGCUGAGGCGCGAAAGCGUGGGGAGCAAACAGG